GCGUCGUAAAGGGAUUGCUCCUUGAGCAGCUCCUGAUGUGUGAGGACCUAGACUUCGAACAGCUUCUCGUAUGUCUCCCAAUCUUUCUCUAAAAUUAUUUCAUUUCUAUUCGGGGAGAGAUUGGGAAUCGUCUAGGUCCAAUCGAAGUCCCAUGGGUGGACAGCGGCCAUGUAGAAAAAUUUGCCUUCCACCUGUGGAUGGAAGAAGAAAGCUUUUCAAAAAAUUGUUGAUGGGG
rnacentral:lncRNA from 1 species